UACGAAGGGGGCUAGCGUUGUUCGGAGUUACUGGGCGUAAAGGGCGCGUAGGCGGCCCUCCAAGUCGGGUGUGAAAGCCCACGGCUCAACCGUGGAAUUGCACUCGAUACUGGGGGGCUUGAGGAUGGGAGAGGAUGGUGGAAUUCCCAGUGUAGAGGUGAAAUGCUUAGAUAUCGGGAGGAACACCUGUGGCGAAGGCGGCCAUCUGGACAACUACUGACACUGAGACGCGAAAGCGUGGGUAGCAAACAGG
rnacentral:rRNA from 1 species